GCUUCUCCAGCGAUAAGCUUCUUCGGUCGUCUAUCAGGCUGCUCCAAGUGCUCUCUGGAUUCUACUAUCGGCCGACCUCCUACAAGGGUCAACCAUUCUCCGGACCUCUUCCAGAUCUUUCCAACAGGAUUCGGUUGACUCCAAUCCGAAUUUCUUUCAGAACUUCAUCAGUUCGUCAGUGGCCGAACUUUUCCAAUAGCAGAUCUCUACAACGGACAGACUCCAUCCAAGUUUCUACGAUGGUCGACCGCCUUCUGGAUUUCAUCCAAGCUCCUACGGGAGUCGGACUUCUUUCCCGAACUCCUACUGCAGGUAGACUUUGUCCGAGCUCCUACGGGAGCCGAACUUCAGCCCUGAGCUCCUAUUGCAGGUAGACCUCAUCCGAAUUCUUACAAGGGCAGGGCUCCCAGCCCCCACCACAAGCGAUCUACUCCGAGCUUCUACUACAAGCGAUCUACUCUGAGCUACCACUACAAGCGGUCUACUUCAAAUUUCUACUACGAGCGGUCCACGUCGGAUUUCUACUGUAAGCCUCCACCUGAGCUUCUAUUGUGAACGAAUUCCUUCCGAACUUCUAUUGCAAGCAGGCUUCGAUCGAGCAUCCUCAACAAAUGAUCCCCAUCUAGACUUCUACGGGAACCAGACUCCGACCGAACUUCUGUAGUGGACAGA
rnacentral:lncRNA from 1 species